rnacentral:rRNA from 1 species
AAAUUGAAGAGUUUGAUCAUGGCUCAGAUUGAACGCUGGCGGCAGGCCUAACACAUGCAAGUCGAACGGUAACAGGGAUCAGCUUGCUGAUUCGCUGACGAGUGGCGGACGGGUGAGUAAUGUCUGGGAAACUGCCUGAUGGAGGGGGAUAACUACUGGAAACGGUAGCUAAUACCGCAUAACGUCGCAAGACCAAAGAGGGGGACCUUCGGGCCUCUUGCCAUCGGAUGUGCCCAGAUGGGAUUAGCUAGUAGGUGGGGUAACGGCUCACCUAGGCGACGAUCCCUAGCUGGUCUGAGAGGAUGACCAGCCACACUGGAACUGAGACACGGUCCAGACUCCUACGGGAGGCAGCAGUGGGGAAUAUUGCACAAUGGGCGCAAGCCUGAUGCAGCCAUGCCGCGUGUAUGAAGAAGGCCUUCGGGUUGUAAAGUACUUUCAGCGGGGAGGAAGGGAGUAAAGUUAAUACCUUUGCUCAUUGACGUUACCC